ACAGAAGCCAUCUAUAUACCCUACAUUGUUCACAAUCUAUUUCCCUACAUAAAGAGCAAUUCUCAUCAAAAGGCAUAUAUUAAGAAUGAGCUGAUUCUACAUUUAAAAUAUUGUUAAUGCUCCACUAUGUUCAUAGCAGCCUUAUUUAU
rnacentral:lncRNA from 14 species